GCUCUGCAGAGACUGCUUCUGAGAUACACGCACGGGGUUUAUGAUGCUGCCAGGCUCAUCAGGAGAGAGAAGAAAGCUACCUUCCAUUAGAGCUACCUGCCAAAUUUUGGAUGGCAGCACCCCAAGAUGAAAGGAGCUUGGAUCCCCAAGUCAUUAUUUGGAGGAGAGCCUCUGCAAAGAACUGCCUGCUGUGCACUGGACUGUGAGAUUUUUAGAAGAGGCCAUUUUAUAAGGAAGACACUUUCAUUGAAUGUGUUUUCCAAGAGAACUGUUGCUAACAGUAUGUUACUUAUGUGUCCUUCGUAAUUCCCAUGUGCUUGUCCCAUGAAUAGAUCUCACUCUGUUCCCAAGAGCAACAAACCAUUCACAACAAGACCUGAUGAAAACAAGUUAUUUUCAAAUUGAUUUUCCUUUCUGUAAAAAGCUCUUAUCAUCCAAUUUACUAAAAAAUUUCUUCUAAUUAAAGGCUCAUUAUUUAAAAAAAAA
rnacentral:lncRNA from 1 species